rnacentral:rRNA from 1 species
AAUAGAUACCCGGGUAGUCCACGCCGUAAACGAUGAGUGCUAAGUGUUAGGGGGUUUCCGCCCCUUAGUGCUGCAGCUAACGCAUUAAGCACUCCGCCUGGGGAGUACGGCCGCAAGGCUGAAACUCAAAGGAAUUGACGGGGGCCCGCACAAGCGGUGGAGCAUGUGGUUUAAUUCGAAGCAACGCGAAGAACCUUACCAGGUCUUGACAUCCUCUGACAACUCUAGAGAUAGAGCGUUCCCCUUCGGGGGACAGAGUGACAGGUGGUGCAUGGUUGUCGUCAGCUCGUGUCGUGAGAUGUUGGGUUAAGUUCCGCAACGAGCGCAACCCUUGAUCUUAGUUGCCAGCAUUCAGUUGGGCACUCUAAGGUGACUGCCGGUGACAAACCGGAGGAAGGUGGGGAUGACGUCAAAUCAUCAUGCCCCUUAUGACCUGGGCUACACACGUGCUACAAUGGACGGUACAAAGAGUCGCGAGACCGCGAGGUGGAGCUAAUCUCAUAAAACCGUUCUCAGUUCGGA